rnacentral:rRNA from 1 species
UACGAAGGGGGCUAGCGUUGCUCGGAAUCACUGGGCGUAAAGGGUGCGUAGGCGGGUUCUUAAGUCAGAGGUGAAAUCCUGGAGCUCAACUCCAGAACUGCCUUUGAUACUGAGAGUCUUGAGUUCGGGAGAGGUGAGUGGAACUGCGAGUGUAGAGGUGAAAUUCGUAGAUAUUCGCAGGAACACCAGUGGCGAAGGCGGCUCACUGGCCCGAUACUGACGCUGAAGCACGAAAGCGUGGGGAGCAAACAGG